AGUUUAGAGUCUUGUUCGUGCAAGGAAGGGCUCCGCCGUCAUCCUCAGCCCAGACAGAUAUUCCUUCAUAAUAAAUCCUCAGAGACUGAAGCUUUUACACUAACUAAGCUUGACGGGAAGAUUUCUACACUUAUAAAAUGUUAUUCUCAUUUUUUUUUCUUCUGAUACAGCAUUUAUUUAGUACUUUCAGCCCUGUCAUAUCUCAGUCUAAAAAUGUUGGACUAUGGUCUGGGGAGGUGGUUUCCUAGUGAGAGAGGAAUGAAGCUACCCCUGGAACAUCCUCUCUUACCUCCAUCAUCGAUCCUCCCCUCCCCAGAGUGAGCCCUCCCUGCCUUCACUUCCUAAUUGCAGAAAAUUAAAGGGAAUGAAACAUUCCACUCAAGGGUGGAGGGGGUGGGGAGCAGAGGGAUGGCUCAGCAGUAAAGUGCUUGCUGUGCAAGUGUGAGGUGCUGAGUUUGAAUCCCCAGAACCCAUGUAAAGCUGCCUAGCCUGGGCUACACAGUGCAGCAGCAAACAGUAGAAACAAAAUGGGAGGUGGAAACUGACCCCUAAGAUUGUUCUGUGAGCCACAAGUAUGCCAUGGCGCGCUCGCACAUACACACACACACACACACACACACACACACGAAAGGGUAGUGGUACUCUAAAUGAAAUGGUAUUAAUACUUCAAAGUCACACCAUGUCAUUAAAGCAUUAAAAAGCUUUCACUUAUUCUUUGAAUUGAUCCAGUUAUUAAAUGUCUACCCUCACUCAAACUUCAUGUGCAGUAAAUACAGACCCAAGAUUUUCAGGGCUGAAAAAGUGCGGAGAAG
rnacentral:lncRNA from 1 species